UAAAGAACAGAUUAUUACUAAAUUUUCACAGCUGUCUUUUGAAGGCUGGUAUUAACUGAAUAUGGGGUGAAUUAAAAAUAAAAGUACUAUUUAUGUGCGAUCUUAUGACACUUCAGCCUAUGUGUUAGGUAUGCUGUGUUAAAGUUUGGAGAGUCUAAGUCUAACCAACUCGAAUUGAUUGAGGUAGUAACAAAAAGUUGUCCCUGGUCUUCCCUGCGUAUUCAGACAAGUACAAAAUUGAAUGUUGGGAACAAGAGUAGGAGCUAACCCCACAAUAGAUUCCUCCGACGAUGCAUUGUUGUCCACAUGUUCCAGGAGCAAAAACACCACAUAGAGCACAUCCAAUGCUGACACCAGGGCACAAAGAUCCAACAGCAUUGCAAGUUGCACGGCUAUUUCUACAAGAAUAAGUAAAACAUGUAUCAUAAAUAUAUAGUAAAUAUUCCCGGUCUUACCUGUGUUUGACAGUGACAGCCUCAUUCAAAAGGUGGGUGGCAGUUUGAAUGCAAGGAAAUAAUUUCUCACAUAAAUCCAAAUUUUUGGUUGAAAUCCCAACCUCAUAACUAGCAACAGCGCGAUAAAUUGAAGGGAAGUUAUACUCAUUGAUUCCAGAAUCUCUUAUGUCAUCCAUGACUUUAUCAAGGAUUUUUCUAAAUCCAACAAUUCCAGCUGCCAAUGUCAUGAUUGGUACAGUUCUUUGUGUUCCAACAGCACACAUUGUACGGAAGAAACACAAAUUCUCAUUAUGGAGAUUGGCCUCGGCCAUUCUCACGGAAUUGAGUCGAAUCUCUUGGAGUACUGUCGCCUCAUUGUUUGCCAAAUUGGCCUAAGGGGAUAUUAUAAUCAAUAUUUAAAACCUUUGAAUUUUAAGAAUGAACAAACCUUAAAGGAUGCCAAUGACAGACCGACGAAUCCAAAGAAAAUGAUGGCGAUUUUAGAAAUCAUUGUUAUAGUAGUGAAGUAGAUGUUUCUAGUUGAAGCUCGAAUGGUUGACUGAUACCCUCUCUUAAUUUUAGAUUCACGAUUACAACUUGUAUUUUGUUAUUUUUGCAAUCAAAAGUGUGUUUUUUGGGGAAAUUUUACAGUUACUCUAAAUAUAGACAAUUAUAUGUAUGCUGAUAAA
rnacentral:lncRNA from 1 species